rnacentral:tRNA from 1 species
GGGCGAUUAGCUCAGUUGGCUAGAGUACUUGCUUGACAUGCAAGGGGUCGCAGGUUCGAGUCCUGCAUCGCCCA